UACGGAGGGUGCAAGCGUUGUCCGGAUUUAUUGGGUUUAAAGGGUGCGUAGGUGGCUGAUUAAGUCAGUGGUGAAAUACAGCCGCUCAACGGUUGAGGUGCCAUUGAUACUGAUUAGCUUGAAAUAAUUGGAGGCUGCCGGAAUGGAUGGUGUAGCGGUGAAAUGCAUAGAUAUCAUCCAGAACACCGAUUGCGAAGGCAGGUGGCUACGAUUUAUUUGACACUGAGGCACGAAAGCAUGGGGAGCAAACAGGGAUUAGAAACC
rnacentral:rRNA from 1 species